AACGAACGCUGGCGGCAUGCCUAACACAUGCAAGUCGAACGCUUUUGCGGUUUCGGCCGCAAGGGAGUGGCGCACGGGUGAGUAGCGCGUGGGAACCUGCCCUGUUGUGGGGGAUAACCGAGGGAAACUUCGGCUAAUACCGCAUACGCCCCGGUGACAAGCCGGGGGAAAGAUUUAUCGCCGCAGGAGGGGCCCGCGUCGGAUUAGCUAGUUGGUGGGGUAACGGCCUACCAAGGCACCGAUCCGUAGCUGGUCUGAGAGGAUGAUCAG
rnacentral:rRNA from 1 species